UGACAGCCACCCGUUUGGGGGCUGAUCAGUAGCUGUAGUACCAUAGAAAGACAUACCGCCCGGAUUUGUUGUUCUGUACAAACCGGGACGGACGG
rnacentral:ncRNA from 1 species